rnacentral:rRNA from 1 species
GCUGGCGGCAGGCCUAACACAUGCAAGUCGAGCGGUAGCACAGAGAGCUGCUCUCGGGUGACGAGCGGCGGACGGGUGAGUAAUGUCUGGGAAACUGCCUGAUGGAGGGGGAUAACUACUGGAAACGGUAGCUAAUACCGCAUAAUGUCGCAAGACCAAAGUGGGGGACCUUCGGGCCUCAUGCCAUCAGAUGUGCCCAGAUGGGAUUAGCUAGUAGGUGGGGUAACGGCUCACCUAGGCGACGAUCCCUAGCUGGUCUGAGAGGAUGACCAGCCACACUGGAACUGAGACACGGUCCAGACUCCUACGGGAGGCAGCAGUGGGGAAUAUUGCACAAUGGGCGCAAGCCUGAUGCAGCCAUGCCGCGUGUGUGAAGAAGGCCUUCGGGUUGUAAAGCACUUUCAGCGGGGAGGAAGGCGGUGAGGUUAAUAACCUCAUCGAUUGACGUUACCCGCAGAAGAAGCACCGGCUAACUCCGUGCCAGCAGCCGCGGUAAUACGGAGGGUGCAAGCGUUAAUCGGAAUUACUGGGCGUAAAGCGCACGCAGGCGGUCUGUCAAGUCGGAUGUGAAAUCCCCGGGCUCAACCUGGGAACUGCAUUCGAAACUGGCAGGCUAGAGUCUUGUAGAGGGGGGUAGAAUUCCAGGUGUAGCGGUGAAAUGCGUAGAGAUCUGGAGGAAUACCGGUGGCGAAGGCGGCCCCCUGGACAAAGACUGACGCUCAGGUGCGAAAGCGUGGGGAGCAAACAGGAUUAGAUACCCUGGUAGUCCACGCCGUAAACGAUGUCGAUUUGGAGGUUGUGCCCUUGAGGCGUGGCUUCCGGAGCUAACGCGUUAAAUCGACCGCCUGGGGAGUACGGCCGCAAGGUUAAAACUCAAAUGAAUUGACGGGGGCCCGCACAAGCGGUGGAGCAUGUGGUUUAAUUCGAUGCAACGCGAAGAACCUUACCUGGUCUUGACAUCCACAGAACUUUCCAGAGAUGGAUUGGUGCCUUCGGGAACUGUGAGACAGGUGCUGCAUGGCUGUCGUCAGCUCGUGUUGUGAAAUGUUGGGUUAAGUCCCGCAACGAGCGCAACCCUUAUCCUUUGUUGCCAG